rnacentral:tRNA from 1 species
CGGGAUGUAGCGCAGUUGGCUAGCGCACUACGUUCGGGACGUAGGGGUCGUCUGUUCGAGUCAGAUCAUCCCGACCA